GGUUCGAUAAUAAGGGAUUGCAAAUCCCCUAAAGUGAAGUAUCACUUGAACUU
rnacentral:tRNA from 1 species